UUCAUGAUUCAGACCUUGGUGAGUGGCGGACGGGUGAGUAACACGUGGGUAACCUGCCCAAAAGUGGGGGAUAACAUCUGGAAACAGAUGCUAAUACCGCAUAACAACUUGGACCGCAUGGUCCGAGUUUGAAAGAUGGCUUCGGCUAUCACUUUUGGAUGGUCCCGCGGCGUAUUAGCUAGUUGGUGAGGUAAUAGCUCACCAAGGCAAUGAUACGUAGCCGACCUGAGAGGGUAAUCGGCCACAUUGGGACUGAGACACGGCCCAAACUCC
rnacentral:rRNA from 1 species